rnacentral:rRNA from 1 species
GACGAACGCUGGCGGCGUGCUUAACACAUGCAAGUCGAACGAAGAGCGAUGGAAGCUUGCUUCUAUCAAUCUUAGUGGCGAACGGGUGAGUAACGCGUAAUCAACCUGCCCUUCAGAGGGGGACAACAGUUGGAAACGACUGCUAAUACCGCAUACGAUCUAAUCUCGGCAUCGAGGAAAGAUGAAAGGUGGCCUCUAUGUAUAAGCUAUCACUGAAGGAGGGGAUUGCGUCCGAUUAGCUAGUUGGAGGGGUAACGGCCCACCAUGGCGAUGAUCAGUAGCCGGUCUGAGAGGAUGAACGGCCACAUUGGGACUGAGACACGGCCCAGACUCCUACGGGAGGCAGCAGUGGGGAAUCUUCCGCAAUGGACGAAAGUCUGACGGAGCAACGCCGCGUGAGUGAUGACGGCCUUCGGGUUGUAAAGCUCUGUUAAUCGGGACGAAAGGCCUUCUUGCGAACAG